UAACAAGGAUUCCCCUAGUAACUGCGAGUGAAGCGGGAUGAGCUCAAAUUUAAAAUCUGGCGUCUUCGGCGUCCGAGUUGUAAUUUAGAGAAGCGUUUUCCGCGUUGGACCGUGUACAAGUCUCCUGGAACGGAGCGUCAUAGAGGGUGAGAAUCCCGUCUUUGACACGGACCCCCGAUGCUAUGUGAUACGCUCUCGAAGAGUCGAGUUGUUUGGGAAUGCAGCUCAAAAUGGGUGGUGAACUCCAUCUAAAGCUAAAUAUUGGCGAGAGACCGAUAGCGAACAAGUACCGUGAGGGAAAGAUGAAAAGCACUUUGGAAAGAGAGUGAAACAGUACGUGAAAUUGUUGAAAGGGAAACGCUUGAAGUCAGUCGCGUCCGCCGGGAUUCAGCCGCAAGGUGUACUUUCCGGUGGACGGGCCAGCAUCACUUUCGAUCAUCGGAAAAGGGCGUGAGGAAUGUGGCACCUCCGGGUGUGUUAUAGCCUCUCGUCGUAUACGGUGACCGGGAGUGAGGACCGCCUUUGUAGGAUGCUGGCGU
rnacentral:rRNA from 1 species